rnacentral:lncRNA from 1 species
AUAAAUGUCUACAAUAUCAUUAUUUAAAAUCCACACUUUCAGGAAAACAUUUUUAAUGAAGUAAUCCAAAGUAGGGAUAUAGGCAAGAAAGUAAUUCUGUAUUUCCAAUCAGAAAGAUAUAUAUACACAUGGAUAUGUCACAGGCAAAAUAUUCAGAUUUUUACUGUUAACGCUGCUUUCUGCUAGGGUGACCUUGGUAUUUUCCAGCCUGCUCCCCAGAAUAUGAUGUAGAAGUUAGCAAGUUAAUCUAUUUAUAUACCAAAAAAUAUGUCUUUUACAGGAAUUACAUGAAGUUCUGUUUGAAGUUGUGAAUGGUGCCAGCGCCACACCUGUCUGCAGUAAGAACUAUACAAGUGAUGCCCAGAACGACUUCUCCACUUGGCGUAUCACUGCCGUGUUGCCCGCUGUGCUCCGACCCUUCCUCCCCGCAGUAGAGGCCUGCUGCUGCCGCCUGCUUGCUGACACGGAACUUCCUUGCCGUCGCAGCUGCCUCAUUUUCAGUGCCAGCUGACCCACCGUCUGGACAUAGGACUUUCAGGAUUCAUUUAUUUAUUCGAGUCCAAGUCCCUGCUAAUG